rnacentral:rRNA from 1 species
UACGAAGGGGGCUAGCGUUGUUCGGAAUUACUGGGCGUAAAGCGUGCGCAGGCGGCUAUGCAAGACAGAUGUGAAAUCCCCGGGCUCAACCUGGGAACUGCAUUUGUGACUGCAUGGCUAGAGUACGGUAGAGGGGGAUGGAAUUCCGCGUGUAGCAGUGAAAUGCGUAGAUAUGCGGAGGAACACCGAUGGCGAAGGCAAUCCCCUGGACCUGUACUGACGCUCAUGCACGAAAGCGUGGGGAGCAAACAGG